GCGCCUAUGAUGUAACGGCAGCCUCUCGCCUUGCCAUGGCGAAUGUGCGGGUUCGAGUCCCGCUGGGCGCU
rnacentral:tRNA from 1 species